GACACAAACCAAUAUCCGAUGCAAAAAGAAAAAGAAAGGGAAGAAAAUUUAACCUAAGAACUUAGGUUGCCUCCCGGAAGCGCUUGUUUAAGGUCGUUAGCUUGACUCGUAUUGUUCAUGUGGGAGGGGGUUCAGGGAAUGGUUCUUGGAGGAAUGAUUUUAGGUGGAAUAAGAUUAGAUGGGACAAACUCACCUGACUUGGUAUGACUUCGAUCGAUGUGAUGUAGUUUUUCAUUUACCUUAUCGAGCGACCGAAGAUUGAGUGGUGGUAAUUGGGAGUCAGGAUGGAAGUCCGAUGGAAGAGGUGGUGGAUCUCCUUGAAUAUCAGUUUGGGGGACUGUUCGACCCGAGAUGGGAAUGGUCUCAGACGAGGAACGGAACCGGUGGUGGUCUUGGCGUAUUUUGUCCUUGAAUACUCAUCUGCGAUUGCUCCACGUCCUUCAUCGAUAUGGUGUUAAGAUGCUCUUUGGAGUCCAUUUCUGGUCGUUUCAUAAAGGUUUCUUGCCACUGGGAGGCGAUUUUAGCAGUUCUGUUGGACUGGGACUUGCGUAGUGAUUGCAUAUAGUUCAAAGAAGUCCUUUUGUCCCUGCAAAAACCGAACAAGUAAGGAUUUCUCAGAAUCUAUCUCCUGCUUAAUUGCGGUCGGUGGGGGCCAUAUGUUUCCGGGAUUGAUCCUUCAAAAUGAUAAUAUGUCUCAUUGCUCUGAUCGUAGUGAUACGAAGGUAUAGACUGACAAGUCUGGAACUGAUAGGAUCCCUGAUUCUGGACGUAAUUGAAAUCCCACUGCGAAACAUCCGAAGUGUAUGCAUCAUAAGAGAGAUCGGGAUAGUCCAUCCAACCCGGAUCAUAAGGGUUGGCAUAAGGGUCAUUCAUAAAAUAGCUCAUAUCCACGAUUGUCUAUUUAUAC